rnacentral:lncRNA from 1 species
UUUUUCAUGAUGAGAGUGAACUUCAGCACUCAUUUGAAUUUCCAUGCUACCAGAUGAAAUAAGAAGUGGCUCCAGCUGGAACUCAUGUCUUGUGUCCUGGAACAUAAUUUUCGUAAGAGAGGAGUAGCACGGGCACAAGAAAUACGGAUGUGUUCCCUCUUCCGUGUCAGCCAACUGUCUGCUCUAGAAGAAGGUACCUCUUCAGACUGCCUGUUAGGCAUCUGGUAAUAUCUUAAGCAAAGAGGGUAAUAAAAGCAGUCUGCUGAAGCCUACCUGACCUUGG